rnacentral:rRNA from 1 species
GACGAACGCUGGCGGCGUGCCUAAUACAUGCAAGUUGAGCGCUGAAGGUUGGUACUUGUACCGACUGGAUGAGCAGCGAACGGGUGAGUAACGCGGGGAAUCUGCCUUUGAGCGGGGGACAACAUUUGGAAACGAAUGCUAAUACCGCAUAAAAACUUUAAACACAAGUUUUAAGUUUGAAAGAUGCAAUUGCAUCACUCAAAGAUGAUCCCGCGUUGUAUUAGCUAGUUGGUGAGGUAAAGGCUCACCAAGGCGAUGAUACAUAGCCGACCUGAGAGGGUGAUCGGCCACAUUGGGACUGAGACACGGCCCAAACUCCUACGGGAGGCAGCAGUAGGGAAUCUUCGGCAAUGGACGAAAGUCUGACCGAGCAACGCCGCGUGAGUGAAGAAGGUUUUCGGAUCGUAAAACUCUGUUGGUAGAGAAGAACGUUGGUGAGAGUGGAAAGCUCAUCAAGUGACGGUAACUACCCAGAAAGGGACGGCUAACUACGU